rnacentral:rRNA from 1 species
AUUGAACGCUGGCGGCAGGCCUAACACAUGCAAGUCGAACGAGUGGCGGACGGGUGAGUAAUGUAUGGGGACUGCCCGAUAGCGGGGGAUAACUACUGGAAACGGUAGCUAAUACCGCAUACUAUCGGAUAACCCAUAUGGGAUUAGCUAGUUGGGGAGGUAAUGGCUCACCAAGGCGAAGAUCCCUAGCUGGUCUGAGAGGAGGAUCAGCCACACUGGGACUGAGACACGGCCCAGACUCCGACGGAGGCAGCAGUGGGGAAGAUUGCACAAUGGGCGCAAGCCUGAUGCAGCCAUGCCGCGUGUAUGAAGAAGGCCUUCGGGUUGUAAAGUACUUUCAGUCGGGAGGCGUUACCGACAGAAGAAGCACCGGCUAACUCCGUGCCAGCAGCCGCGGUAAUUC